AGAACGAACGCUGGCGGCAUGCCUAAUACAUGCAAGUCGAACGAACACUUCGGUGUUAGUGGCGCACGGGUGCGUAACGCGUGGGAAUCUGCCCUUGGGUUCGGAAUAACAGUUGGAAACGACUGCUAAUACCGGAUGAUGACGAAAGUCCAAAGAUUUAUCGCCCAGGGAUGAGCCCGCGUAGGAUUAGCUAGUUGGUGAGGUAAAGGCUCACCAAGGCGACGAUCCUUAGCUGGUCUGAGAGGAUGAUCAGCCACACUGGGACUGAGACACGGCCCAGACUCCUACGGGAGGCAGCAGUAGGGAAUAUUGGACAAUGGGCGCAAGCCUGAUCCAGCAAUGCCGCGUGAGUGAUGAAGGCCUUAGGGUUGUAAAGCUCUUUUACCGAGAUGAUAAUGACAGUAUCGGGAGAAUAAGCCCCGGACUAACUCCGUGCCAGCAGCCGC
rnacentral:rRNA from 1 species